rnacentral:rRNA from 1 species
UAGGGAAUCUUCCGCAAUGGACGCAAGUCUGACGGAGCAACGCCGCGUGAGUGAAGAAGGAUUUCGGUUCGUAAAACUCUGUUGUUAGAGAAGAACAGCGCAUAGAGUAACUGUUAUGCGUGUGACGGUAUCUAACCAGAAAGCCACGGCUAACUACGUGCCAGCAGCCGCGGUAAUACGUAGGUGGCAAGCGUUGUCCGGAUUUAUUGGGCGUAAAGCGAGCGCAGGCGGUCAAUUAAGUCUGAUGUGAAAGCCCCCGGCUCAACCGGGGAGGGUCAUUGGAAACUGGUUGACUUGAGUGCAGAAGAGGAGGGUGGAAUUCCAGGUGUAACGGUGAAAUGCGUAGAUAUAUGGAAGAACACCGGUGGCGAAAGCGACUCUCUGGUCUGUAACUGACACUGAGGCUCGAAAGCGUGGGUAGCAAACAGG